GGGAGGAGGAAGAAGCCUAAGAAGAGAACAUUCGGAGCAGCGCGCGUCCGUGCUCUUACGCGCGCGGCGACGCGCGGUAGGGGAAUGCUGUUGUUGCUGGUUGCUGUUUCUGGUAGUGGUAACGCUGGUAACGGCGAUGGCAUCGUCGGUGACGGGUGCCCUCGUUGGUGGUGGUGCCGAUAAAGUUAAAGCCACUGGCGAACGAUGCAGGGGCCGCGUAAUGACAACGCAGCGUGUCGUAAACGCGUUUAUGUCCAGAGUUGCAUUAUAGUAAUAUCUGCCAGCACCCAACGGAUAUUCAGUGCCUCUUCGGCAGCGUUACCAUGCUCGACCGUUUCGCGACCGUUUUUCUUUUCGUUUCUUGCUGCGCUUCGGCCAGUUUCAAUCCUCGUUUUGUCAUUCGCGUUAACAGUGACCGAUUCUACUAUUUAUCCAACUCAAAGUUGUCCUUUCUCAUAUUAUUCAUAAGAAAAGUUGUUUACAAGUUAUUCCAAGUUGUCUCGAACUUUCUAAAAUUAAGAUGUCGAAGAGGAGAAGAAGAGGACGUAAAAAGAAUAACGUUUAUUCGCCUACACACGUUGUGUCAUAACUACCAAAUAAUUACCAUUACGUUGGAUUAUUAUCCAGGCUUCAUUUUAUAUACAAUCGGUUGUACGUAAAUCACGCACAAAAUUCGCCAGAAGUCAUAAACGUCCAUGUUAAUGGUUCGACUUAAUUUGACGCCCUCAGAUAUACCAGAAGUUGGUUUGCUCUCAUUUUAAUAUCUUGUAAUAUCCACAUAGCGGUAACGCGUAGAGACAUCGACGAGUGGCGACUCUUUACCGCCGCUGCGCGCUUCUCCCUUUUUCCGUAAUCUCCGAACUAAAAUUUUUCCUCAACGAACUCCUCGUUCUCCACGGUAUCAGGAGAUUGUAUCCACUCCGCACCCACCCCCUUCUCGACUCUCUGAUGUUCUCCUUUUCGUCUUGGAGCGGCGGAUACCGUCAUCCUACCACCUCCCGGCUGUUAUAAUCUCGUGAGUCCUAUUUUCUCACAAAUGCUGAGAACACUUUCGCGGAAACGUCAACACGCGGAACACCGAUCGGUCCCGUUUGCGAGGGCGAAUGAUCCGAGAGAAUAUUUUUGAAACGGCAAUGAGUGCCCCGGAUAUUACAUGAGGCGAUAAAGAGAUAGCAUCAAGAGGGAACCGCUUGGACGGCAUAAAGGCGACACGGAGGGUGCUCGAUGGCUGACGAGGACGGGCAAGAAGGGGAUAGAGGGAGAAACGGAGGAGUCAAGGGAGGAGGAGGAGGAGGAGAAACGACGAGAUGGCAGAGUUGUAAAGUCCUGCGCGUGACACCGGGUUAUGUUAUGUUCCCCGCGUUUGUGUUGGCGAUCCCACGGAUGGUGGCCUCGUGGACGCUGGUUUAUUCGUUUCGGUGCACGCAAGGCCGCCGCACGCCGUGCUAUUAUUAUCAUUGACGCGACGAGAUUCGAGCCUACAGGUUGCGACGCAGUGACGCGAAACCGCUCCGUGUCACCUCAUUCAUCUAUUCUAUUGGAACGCAAUCGCAGCAAAUAACAGGCGACCGACGCUGUUGGCAUGCGGGUACAGUCCGUCGGGAAAAUAGACGGUUUAACCAAACGUGGCUCUUCGGGGAUUGGAAAGGGCUUCCAAGAGGGUUCCCACGAACACGCGGGGGGCGUUUCGGACGAACGGGACGGACACACUGAAGCGAGCAGGUAGCGGAAGUCAUCUGGACGAGAGUGAAGAGAAAGAAUGGGAAGUCCAUCUUCACCGAUAGACGUCCCGCUUGGGGUAUCUGAGGGUAACUGUUUUCGAUUUCGAAGACCGCAUGCCGAUGCACCCGUAUAGAGUGGGGAAAAGUACGUCCCGGAGUGGGAUAUUGGGUACCCUAAAGGUGGGGAGGUCCUCGGCCCUCCUGAGACCUGUUGAUGUGUGGGAAUUCACGCCGUCUGCAGGAUAUACCUCGUGCAACGUAGUCGCUUAUUUAAUUUGGGCUACAUCCUGUGAAGAUAAUAUCGGAAGUGGUUUGGACAAUUUACAACCAAGCAAGCGAUAUAUUUAUUUUCAAUUGGUAUAAUUAUAUCCUUCAUAGGUCUCUUAUAAAAGUGUCUUGUAAUCUCUAUAAAAUAAAAAAGUAAUAAAUGCACACGUUAUACAA